rnacentral:rRNA from 1 species
CCUACGGGAGGCUGCAGUGAGGAAUAUUGGUCAAUGGACGCAAGUCUGAACCAGCCAUGCCGCGUGAAGGAAGAAGGCCCUAAGGGUUGUAAACUUCUUUUGUACGGGGGUAAUUUUUGGAUCGUGAUCUGAAUUGAAAGUACUGUACGAAUAAGCGUCGGCUAACUACGUGCCAUCAGCCGCGGUAAUACGUAGGACGCCAGCGUCAUCCGGAUUCAUUGGUUUUAAGGGGUGCCUUUAAGUCAGUGGUGAAAGUUUGCCGCUUAACGGUAAGAUUGCCAUUGAUACUGGAGGCCUUGAGUGCAACUGAGGUAGGCGGAAUGUGUAGUGUAGUGGUGAAAUACUUAGAUAUUACACAGAACACCGAUUGCGAAGGCAGCUUACUAAAAUGCAACUGACGCUGAGGCACGAAAGCGUGGGGAUCAAACAGGAUUAGAUACCCCAGUAGUC